rnacentral:lncRNA from 1 species
GUAGGAAAGCUGAUCUUGAUCCCAAGGAGCCUUAAGUGGAAGAAGGAAGCAGAAGAGUUCAGAGUCAGAGUGAUGCGAUAUGAGAAGGAUUCCAUCAGCCAUCGCUGACUCUGAAGAUGCAGGAAAGGGGCCAAGGGAUGCAGGCAGCCUUUGGAAGCUGGGGAAGGAAAGAAACAGAUUCUCACCCUAGAGAUUCUAGAAAGGAAUUGGUCCUGCCCACACCUGGUUUUUAAUGUAGUAAGAUCUUGUCCAAGUUCUGAACUGUAAGGCAAUAAAUCUGUUCUCUUUUAAGUCACUAAGUUUGUGGGAAUUUAUUGCAGCAGCAAUAGAAAACUCACACACCUUAUCUUUGCAUAACUGAGAGGCUGCAGACUGCCUCCUCACAGAACAGAGAGAGUUCCCAAGGUGCCUCUCC